CACGAUGGCAGUGCAGAUCUCCAGGAAGAGGAAGUUUGUUGGUGAUGGUAUCUUCAAAGCUGAACUGAAUGAGUUUCUUACUCGGGAACUGGCUGAAGAUGGCUACUCUGGAGUUGAGGUCCAAGUUACACCAACCAGGACAGAAAUCUUUAUCUUAGCCACCAGAACACAGAAUGUUCUUGGUGAGAAGGGCCAGUGCAUUUGGGAAUUGACCGCAGUAGUUCAGAAGAGAUUUGGCUUCUCAGAGGGCAGUGUGGAGCUUUAUGCUGAAAAGGUGGCCACGAGAGGUCUGUAUGCCAUUGCCCAGGCAGAAUCUCUGCAUUACAAACUCCUUGGAGGGCUUGCUGUGCGGAGAGCUUGCUAUGGUGUGCUGUGGUUCAUCAUGGAGAGUGGAUCCAAGGGCUGUGAGAUCGUGGUGUCUGGGAAACUCUGAGGACAGAGGGCUAAGUCCAUGAAGUUUGGGGAUGGCCUGAUGAUUCACAGUGGGGACCCUGUUAACUACUAUGUUGACACUGCCAUGCACCAUGUGCUGCUCAGACAGGGUGUGCUAGGCAUCAAGGUGAAGAUCAUGCCACCAUGGGCCCCUACUACUGGUAAGAUUGGCCCUAAGAAACCCCUGGCUGACCACGUGAGCAUCGUGGGACCCAAAGAUGAGAUACUGCCUGCCACCCCCAUCUCAGAAUAG